UACGGGGGGGGCAAGCGUUGUUCGGAAUUACUGGGCGUAAAGGGCUCGUAGGCGGCCAACUAAGUCAGACGUGAAAUCCCUCGGCUUAACCGGGGAACUGCCUCUGAUACUGGAUGGCUUGAGAUUGGGAGAGGGAUGCGGAAUUCCAGGUGUAGCGGUGAAAUGCGUAGAUAUCGGGAGGAACACCAGUGGCGAAGGCGACUACCUGGCCUGUUCUUGACGCUGAGGCGCGAAAGCUAGGGGAGCAAACGGG
rnacentral:rRNA from 1 species